rnacentral:rRNA from 1 species
GCAUAUCAAUAAGCGGAGGAAAAGAAACCAACAGGGAUUGCCCUAGUAACGGCGAGUGAAGCGGCAACAGCUCAAAUUUGAAAUCUGGCCCUCGGGUCCGAGUUGUAAUUUGUAGAGGAUGCUUUUGGUGCGGUACCUUCCGAGUUCCCUGGAACGGGACGCCAUAGAGGGUGAGAGCCCCGUCUGGUUGGAUACCAAUCCUCUGUAAAGCUCCUUCGACGAGUCGAGUAGUUUGGGAAUGCUGCUCUAAAUGGGAGGUAUAUGUCUUCUAAAGCUAAAUAUUGGCCAGAGACCGAUAGCGCACAAGUAGAGUGAUCGAAAGAUGAAAAGCACUUUGAAAAGAGAGUUAAAAAGUACGUGAAAUUGUUGAAAGGGAAGCGCUUAUGACCAGACUUGGGCUUGGUUGAUCAUCCUGGGUUCUCCCUGGUGCACUCUUCCAGUUCAGGCCAGCAUCAGUUUGCUUCGGGGGAUAAAGGCUUCGGGAAUGUGGCUCCUCCGGGAGUGUUAUAGCCCGUUGUGUAAUACCCUGGAGCAGACUGAGGUUCGCGCAUCUGCAAGGAUGCUGGCGUAAUGGUCAUCAGCGACCCGUCUUGAAACACGGACCAAGGAGUCGUCUUCGUAUGCGAGUGUUCGGGUGUUAAACCCCUACGCGUAAUGAAAGUGAACGCAGGUGAGAGCUUCGGCGCAUCAUCGACCGAUCCUGAUGUUCUCGGAUGGAUUUGAGUAAGAGCAUACGGGGCCGGACCCGAAAGAAGGUGAACUAUGCCUGUAUAGGGUGAAGCCAGAGGAAACUCUGGUGGAGGCUCGCAGCGGUUCUGACGUGCAAAUCGAUCGUCAAAUAUGGGCAUGGGGGCGAAAGACUAAUCGAACCUUCUAGUAGCUGGUUUCCGCCGAAGU